rnacentral:lncRNA from 1 species
UAACACAAAAGCAGAAAACAAGUUCCCUUUUUAAACAUCCUUAGCAAUGAGAUCACCAUUGAGAAACUCUCUGUAGGCAGCAACGGGCCAAAUGAAACCACGGAAGAUGAUCCGACUAGCCAAAGGAACAUCGAUGAUGAUCUCUUUCAUCGCGGGUUUCUUCUCACCACUAAUAGCUAUUAAGUAGCUUCUUCCAACCCACCCGAUCCAUCCAGCAAUGUAGAGGAAAAGAAUCCCUGGAGUAAUGAACUCUCCCCAAUGCCGCUGGUCUCCGUUCACUAUCAAGUGCGGUAAACCGUCUGACCCGCAUAACAAUCCGUACUUCCCGUAGUUGUCGAACCUAACAUACAUUCAUAAGCACAUCAACUUCAAACCAAUCCACAGUUCCACAAGCUCCUCAAUAGAUCAUAUCAAUGAUCAAAUUUAACAUGUCUAGCAACUUCGAAAACUCACUAACUCACCAAAAAAAUCAUACUAAAGCAAUGGAUCUAGCAAGUAAUUCACUAAAACAGAGAAAAACUCUGUUUCAGAACAGAGGAAAGCUCUGUUUCAGAACAGAGAAAAAGCUCUGGUUUAACGAAGAAAUAGAAAUGGAAGACGAACCUGCGUUUGGUUUUCUCGAUCUGAGCAUUGAGAGCAAGAGCAGGGGCAGAUUCAGGAGCGUAGAGCUUAAGAGAAGAUUCAAGCUUCUUGAUCUGUUGCUUCUCUCUUUUAGCGAACUGUUUUGAGUCCUUGCAAGGAGUCAAACCUGAGAUAUCAGCGACAGCUGGCAUAGGAGCAGAGAGGAGGAUGGAAGAGAGGGCGACGGCGGCGGAGAAAGCUUUCAUGGAUUGAGGUGUGGAGGAGGAGGAUUUGUCAUCGGAGCAGACGAAUCUUGCGGAGGAUUUAGGUACGGAUUGAGUGAGAGAUUUGUUAGAUCUCGGGUUGAGAACGAGAUUCGCCGGGAUAGUGAGCGACAUGGCGCUUUGUCGGGUUCUUUGGAGAUUUCGAAUUCUAGGGUUCUGGA